GUUAGGUUCCAUAACAGCAUUGUUUCGCUUUUGCUUCUGAGAGACAACAGUCACAAUCUGCACGGCCACGAGAGCUCCUUGUCAGGGGGAUAAGCUCUGCAUAGACCAAGAGGAACAGAGGAAGUACCUGCAAAUUACACUGGAAACCAAUACUGUAGCAUCAACUGGCUGCAGCUUUCAGCUGUCAUUUCAGGCUAAGAGCACGACCCUCCUCCUCCCCUUGCACCUCCGGUCUUCAUCACGCACGGCUCCUGGGUCCUCCUCCGGCCGGUCGCUACCGUUGGAGCCUCGGCUUGGUCUUCAGGCUCCUCACACCACCAUCAGUGUCUAGACUCCAUCGGGGGAAUAUCUUUUGGUUUUCUACCCCUUUAUAAAAUAUAAUUUUAUAAGAGUCUA